UAAGGCAAAUAUGUGUUAUGCUUUUGCUGAACCUUUCCAUAAUGAACAGGAUUAUAAUUUGUGUCCUUCUGCUGCUCAGUGCCUCCAUGUUUGGGACCUGGAUGUUCGGGGAUACCACAGCGGCCUGUGGCGGCUCUUCAGGAAAAGAAAUCAUGUCCUCGUGGUUGCUGUGCCAAUCUCCCCAUACUCUGAGAAGAAACCAACCGGUGUCACUCCCAUUCAGUUAGAUCCUCCACCCAAAGAAGAGGGAGCCGUGGUGGAUCAGGUGUAGCCCGAUGUUACACUCUGUCGCACACAUGCACACUACAACCAGCCCAGGCCUUAACGACAACAACAACCACUAAAAAUCCAGCCUGGGACCCACAAAAGACGUUCUGGCGAGGGGGCACCUGGGAAAUGGAGUUUCUUAUUUUUCAACGAAAGAGGGGUUAACACUACAAUCUGCACUAAUACAUCCGUCCAACAGCUUGAGGAGGAACGUAGUUGCAAAAAACAGGUUUUGGUGACUGAACAACCGAGACAGUAUACGACUGUCAACAGCUGUCUUUUUCUGUUGCCGUGACAACUGUGACGGCUCCACGGUCUCUUACAUUUCAUUUCAAGCUGUGACUUUUUCAGCGUCAAUGGUACAAAUGACGCAAAUCAAACACUCACCACAUUUCGGAGGUUGUUGUGUUUUUUUAACUACUACUUUUUGUACAUACGUUUUAACUUAUCUCUAUUUAUUUUACAUCUAUCAAUCAAAAAAGGAGUUUAGUGGUUUGUUUGCUAUUUUCUUUUCUUUUUUAAAUAUCCACUUUUAUCAAGAUUGGUGCAUUUUUUUUUUUUAAAAGCCUAACGUUUACAGAUAAUGAAAUAAUAAUGUAUAUACAUGCCUAUAUAUAUUUUUUAACGAAAAUGUAAAGGGUCAGCAUCUUUUUAAGCGUUAGAUAUUGAGUUUGAUUGAAAGAGCUCAUAACAGACCUGUGGGAUUCAACUAAUUUACUGCUCGGGUCAGCCUGAUCAGGUUUCAUGAGGAAAACUCUACGGUGGCUAAUAAGGGAUAUUCAUGCUUUUAAAUUCAAACAAAACAAAUUAUUAAAACAAUUAUCUUUGCUAAUUAUACAUUUUUGAUCAGAUGGUUCCUCAUAUAUUUUAUUUAAUGACAUUUUUGCUUACAAAUAGAAGAAGUUCAUGCUUAGCUAUUUGUGCUUUCAGCAACACACACAAAAGUAAAUGUGUCUUUAUUUUUAAUUAAGAAAUAGGACAGGAAAAGUAUAGUUUGGGGGGUAAGUGUUGAAAGUCAAAACUUUCAAAAGAUACCCAGUUCUUAACAUUUAAACUACAAAAAUAAUUAUUAACCUCAAAACAAAUCAUAAAAUAAAAUGUUCUAGUUUAAUUUUAGUCGUCUCUAUUUUGGAAAAAACUGUCCUUUUUUCUUCAAGUUAAAAAAAAUAAACAUUUCAGUCUUACAAGUCACUGCAUAUUAUCUUUUAAAAUGAGCCUGUUCUCUGUGUUGGCCAGAACGUUGUGACUUUACACGGUUAUACCCUUUCGGUGCAAUACAGAAAGCUCAUCUAGGUGUUUGCAGACUGCAGGAAACUGACUGCUUCCAUUGCUGAACUAUUUAAGAGCCACAGAACAUACACACAUUCGAGGGCCUUUGUGUGUUUUAUGAAUUAAAACAACUGCUGUCCUCGAAUCGAAUAGCAGCAGGGUGAACUCAUCUUUUUUUACAGCUGACAAAGUGAUUUUGUUAUUUGCCUUAUGAUCAGUUUUCUGUGGUUAAGAAGUUGGGAGGUUCUAAAACAUAAACGUCCAUAUGUCAACAACUGUAUUGAUACCCCAAUAUAUGACAGUUAACAUCUUUAUACACAAAAUAAGAAAGAUCAUGGUUGCUGCUAUAGUAUUAGGGUGAGUACAAAUAUCCAAAUUGAUCAAAUUAUGUCAGCGACUCUCACACCUGUCCUUACCAAGAGUUUUUAUUUUCUUGUUCUAUCACACACUUCAUUUAGCUUUUUAUUUAAAUGUCCAGCUGAUGUAACACUACCGACUAAAUGAAUGAGUGUGUGAUUCCAGCUUCAAUGCAUCGAUCAGAGUGGUUUGAUUUUAAUAUUUGUAUCUGUGUGCCCAGAGAAGAACAUUAACUCUCUGCAGUCUGACAAAACCACUGACUCAGCAGUAUUGCAGGCCGUGUCGUGACUGAAUUCAUCUCUGUUUCAUUAAGACAUUGAAGAGGUAGAAUCUGCCUACUUCAUGAGCUAGUUUCAUUUUUGUCUUUUCAUUUCACUUUUCUUUUGUGUGCUUCUUGUAGUUUAGUCAAUAAAUAAAAUCCCUUUCUCCUCAGCAAUACAGUUGAUUUUGUGUUAUGCUGUGAGAUCAUUUGGAGAAUUCUGCAACGUUCAUUCGAUGGGUUUCGGGUGCAGUUCCACAUAUGUUUCAGUUCCUUUUAUCUUUUAUCAUGAUGAAUGAAUAAAGAUGUUUUUUACUGACGUUU